GCUUCGAGUCUUGACAGCAUUGGAACAGCGUCCCAUCUCACAUAGUAUUUCAGCAGCGAGCAGUACCCUCGGUGAGUAGCCUAUUUAAUUAGCAAAUAUUUGUAGAGGUCAGAAUGGGUGAGAACAGAAUUGCCACAACACAGUAGAAAUAAUUUCAUCAGAGAAACAACAGGAAAGAGGAUUCUGGACAGAAAAAAUAGCAGGCAAGAGUAUCAUAUGCUGCACUCCUGAUGGGAAAAGAAAAGAAGCACAGAAUAAGAGAAGCAAAUAAUUUCAGUGAGCUACAAGCCUAAAGCAAUACAUCCAUGCAUUAAUAAAGGCCAUAAAUAUCAAGUAGUCCAAUUAUAAAACUGAAGCUAUAGAUUAUCAAGCUUAAUCCAGAAGAUGAUGAUUUUUUAUUGCCUGAGGCUUUAAGGUUAAACCUUUUUUACAACAGGUUCUAGAGAUGGGACUUGAGAAAUUAAUAAAACAUAUCUCACAAUCGUCUGAAUGAAGUCGAUCUUUUGUGGAAUUUUGAGAUGAGCUAAUCUCCAUCAAAAUCCAAGGUUUGUAUGACAUUGCUUUACAAAAGAAUUUUUAUCAAGCAUGUCAUAAAACAAGUGGCACGAAAAAGAACUUGGCCCAAAAUUUUCUUUCAGCUUUGCUUCUGCCAAAGUGGUUUUGGUGGCCAUGGCCAGACAUUUCUGAUUAAUAGAUCCAAACUAAAUCUGUCUGUACAUUUGCUCUGGUGCCCUCAAAGCACAAAGUUCAAUGAAGCUAAUUGACAUGGCAAACAUAAACCAUUUUGUACUAUAUAUUGUGUAUAUUCGAGUCUUCUAUAAAGGACUGCAAAAAAAUUCUGGAAUUUGCUUUUUCUUCUGUUAUUUCUCUCUCUCCUCUUAGCUGUUAAUCUCCACGAAAUCAGCUUGUUUGUUCUUGUGGGCUCCCAUGCUACAUUAUAGGAUCUCAAUGUCACUGUUCAUGAACUCCCCUGCUUAGUGCCACAUUAAUUUUGAAUAAAAAAAUAUAUGCCAUUAAGAUCCUACAUUUCAGAGUUAUAUUGACCUGACCAUAGGUAGAUCUUGUAGCAUGUGAAAGUAGAGCAUAGCUAUACAUCAAGUCAUCAUGUACUGAAUCCACAAAAUAGCUACCUUUCUAUACAUAUGUGAAUAUUGUGGGCCAUGAAAAGUCCCGAGAGAGAACCAUUUUUAACUCCUUAACUCAUGAUGCUUCCUAAUGUGAACCACUAUCUAUACAAGUAGUAAAAGGGAUCAAAACAUCACCAGAUAUAUUCAAGGUACAUGUAUUUUUUAGCUUAACCAAGUCCAUUUUGUCACUGUCACUCACACUUCACAAGGAAAAAAGAUGGUGAUGCCAUUCCAUUAUGUGUAUAUUGUUUAAGAUCAGAAUGUUACCAGCUUAAAGGAAGAAGACAAUAUGAGGGAAAUCCACACAAACAUCAGAAUCACUCAAAGCUCCAAAAGCUAUGGAUGGUGCCUGCCAGCUCAUUGGCUAUCCUUUGAAACUCAGCCAAGGGAUUUCAGUUGAAAAUCAGUAUACUACCAGCUAAAAGAAGAAGAUAAGAAGGAAAACCACAUAAACAGCAGCACCACACAAAGCUCCAAAAGCUAUGGAGUUUGCCAUCUCAUUGGCCCCCUUUGCAUCUCAACCAAGGGAUUGCGCCUAACUCUAAUGAUGUCCUGAGCCAAAUGAGCAAGGGUAGCCUCCUAGUUAGACACAAUUGUUG
rnacentral:lncRNA from 1 species